GAUGAACGCUGGCGGUGUGCUUAACACAUGCAAGUCGAACGGAAACGCCCUGCUUUUGUGGGGUGCUCGAGUGGCGAACGGGUGAGUAACACGUGAGUAACCUGCCCUAGACUUUGGGAUAACUUCAGGUAACUGGGGCUACUACCAGAUAGGAGCUCCUGUUGCAUGGUGGGGGUUGGAACGUUUCGGCGGUUGGGGAUGGACUCGCGGCUUAUCAGCUUGUUGGUGGGGUAGUGGCUUACCAAGGCUUUGACGGGUAGCCGGCCUGAGAGGGUGACCGGCCACAUGGGGACUGAGAUACGGCCCAGACUCCUACGGGAGGCAGCAGUGGGGAAUAUUGCACAAUGGGCGGAAGCCUGAUGCAGCAACGCCGCGUGCGGGAUGACGGCCUUCGGGUUGUAAACCGCUUUCGCCUGUGACGAAGCGUUAGUGACGGUAAUGGAUAAAGAAGCACCGGCUAACUACGUG
rnacentral:rRNA from 1 species